rnacentral:rRNA from 1 species
UACAGAAGGUGCAAGCGUUGUUCGGAAUUACUGGGCGUAAAGCGCGUGUAGGCGGUCUGGUAAGUCGGUCGUGAAAUCCCUAAGCUUAACUUAGGAACUGCGAUCGAAACUGUUAGACUCGAGUGUCGGAGGGGAUGGCGGAAUUCCUGGUGUAGAGGUGAAAUUCGUAGAUAUCAGGAGGAACACCUGUGGCGAAGGCGGCCAUCUGGAAGAUUACUGACGCUGAGACGCGAAAGCGUGGGGAGCAAACAGG